rnacentral:tRNA from 1 species
CAAAACGUAGCUUAACUAAAGCAUCUUGCUUACACCAAAAUCAUAUCUGUUAAACCCAGAUCGUUUUGA